GACGAACGCUGGCGGCGUGCCUAAUACAUGCAAGUCGAGCGAAGGUUUUCUGGUGCUUGCUCUAGAAAAACUUAGCGGCGAACGUGUGAGUAACACGUAAAGAACCUCCCUCAUAGACUGGGACAACUAUUGGAAACGAUCGCUAAUACCGGAUAACAGUAUUUCUCGCAUGUGAGAUAUGUAAAAGUUGCUUAUUCUAACACUAUGAUAUAUCUUUGCGGUGCAUUAGCUAGUUGGUGGGGUAAAGGCCCACCAAGGCGACGAUGCAUAGCCGACCUGAGAGGGUGAUCGGCCACACUGGAACUGAGACACGGCCCAGACUCCUACGGGAGGCAGCAGUAGGGAAUCUUCCGCAAAGGGCGAAAGCCUGACGGAGCAACGCCGCGUGAGUGAAGAAGGACUUCGGUUCGUAAAGCUCUGUUGUUAGGGAAGAAUAGAUAUGUAGUAACUAUACAUGUACGAGACGGUACCUAACCAGAAAGCCACGGCUAACUACGUG
rnacentral:rRNA from 1 species